GGCGGGACAUCGCCGCGGCCGGUGAUAGGCUGAAGGUGGCUCUGUGACGUCCCAAAACCGGGAAGCAGCGAUAAUAGCGGAGGGACCAUGAGGCCAGUGCCUUAGCAACGGGGGAACGGAGGACGAAGGUACGAUUUUUGGCAAAAGUUGUGGAAAUCAUCAUUUUUCAUUUAUAGUAGAAGAUGACCAUCAGCCACACAAACAGGUCAUUCACAGACUACAGACGGACAUCAUGGAAUACAAAGGUUUUGGAGCUCCUGCCAAACUCUUCAGAAUGGAUGAAAUGGCCCCACACUGGUGUCCAGUCUAGUAGUAGCAGUGACUGAUGAAUGUAGCGAAAGAAUGAGGCCGGCAGAACUCAACGGAGGCUGAAGGAUCUGGGAAAGACAAAGAUGAUAAGAAUGAACAACUAGUCCUAAACAGAGCCCGGGGAGUAGUCAAGAAGAAAGAUACAGUAGUCUUUUAAAGUAGACUUGAAUAAUGUAUAAUAUAGUGAAUGCGCUUUGUAAAUAUAUUUUUAUACUCUCAAUGAAAGUUAAAUCGGAAAGUCAAAGCCAAGUGCUUUUCCCACCUUCUGGUUGGUUUUGUUGAGGCGCCUGUAGUCAGGACUAAGUGUCACAGCACAGGACUGCAGAAGGAAGAGCUGGGAGGAUUCCCAUAUUGUCUACUGGAUUAGAAUCGUAUGAUUAAAAGGAACUCCAGUGGAUAACUGUGUAAAUAUAAAAACCUUCAGGGCAUCUGGGAGGUUGUAAUGUCACAAUCACAAUAUGUGAAUAAUACUUACAGUGAUGUCAUAGUACAGGGAUAAUGCAGUAAUGUCACAAUAUGUGAAUAAUACUUACUGUGAUAUUAUAGUACAGGGAUAAUGCAGUAAUGUCACAAUAUAUAAAUAAUACUUACAGUGAUGUCAUAGUACAGGGAUAAUGCAGUAAUGUCACAAUAUAUGAAUACUGUAAUACUUACUGUGAUAUUAUAGUACAGGGAUAAUGCAGUAAUGUCACAAUAUAUAAAUAAUACUUACAGUGAUGUCAUA